UUGUGCACAGACAUGGAGGAAGUGUGUGAAAUAGUUGCUGUGCCUUAAUUCAGCUCUAUGGGGCUGAGCUUUGGAGCAACCGCAAGUCCCCAAGGAAAUGUCAUUAGUCACUCUAUGCCCAGUCCCAGGAAGAUGGGAUGGCAGUCUGCCAUAGCAUCUGUGCUCACUUUCCACUGAGUCACUCUGAUCUCUCCUGAACUCACCCACUCUUCCCUAAAAUCCUGCAUUCACAAUAUGUGGUAUACCGCAGAGCACUCCCUGAGUGAAAUAAAUAGAAAUCUGUAAGCUAAAAAUAAUAGAUUAUAUGAUAUGGUAAUUGUCAGCCUACUCAAUCUUCUCAGGCUGCUUUCUACAGCUUUUAAAUGUGUGUGUGUGUGUGUGUGUGUGUGUGUGUGUGUGUGUGUGUGUUGGUUUUUUUUUUUUUUUUUUUUUUUUUUUUUUUUUUUUUUUUUUGCCUAACGAUAUAUCACUGCCAAAAUGAAUGUUAAAGUGGAGUAAAUUCCGUAAAAGUGAGCAGAACAACACAUUAACAUAAGUCUUAAAAAUAGUUCUGUGUGUGGGAGAGAAGAUGGUUUCUCUAAACUUCAUUAAGCCAAUUGUUGAGAAGACAUCUGGAAUCUGAUACUAGGGAAGGCCAAGCAAUACAUGUGAAUAGCUAUUUUGUGUUAAAAUGCAGCAGUUUAAGUCGGAUUUGUCUGAACAAAAUGCAUCUUUUAGUAUUUGCUCAUGGGAUUGCCUUGGCUUGCCCUAAGGUCCUUGGUGUGGGAAGAGAGCAUGAGAGCCAGGAGAUGAAGAGUAGGAGUUUAGUCUCCACACCAGAACAGAGAGACAAGUAAGUGAUGGGCAGUCUGAGGCCUGCUCCUCAGACUAGAUCAGUCUAGAUCUGAUUUACACAUAUGAGCAAUUUUAUUUUUUCUUCCAGUAUUAUAAACUUAAUGAGGGUAACAAUCGUACAUUUUCUGUAUCCCUAUCAACUAAAAUAAUGGAUUCAAUGAAAAAAAAUUAAUGAAUAGUUUAUUUCCAAGAAAUAAAAUAUGCAAAUUUUAUUGAAAGAAAAAUAAU
rnacentral:lncRNA from 12 species